rnacentral:rRNA from 1 species
AACAUAAUAAUUUACAACUUUCAACAACGGAUCUCUUGGUUCUGGCAUCGAUGAAGAACGCAGCGAAAUGCGAUAAGUAGUGUGAAUUGCAGAAUUCAGUGAAUCAUCGAAUCUUUGAACGCACAUUGCGCCCUUUGGUAUUCCAAAGGGCAUG